rnacentral:rRNA from 1 species
UGGGGAAUUUUGGACAAUGGGCGAAAGCCUGAUCCAGCAAUGCCGCGUGUGUGAAGAAGGCCUUCGGGUUGUAAAGCACUUUUGUCCGGAAAGAAAUCCUUGGCUCUAAUACAGUCGGGGGAUGACGGUACCGGAAGAAUAGGCACCGGCUAACUACGUGCCAGCAGCCGCGGUAAUACGUAGGGUGCAAGCGUUAAUCGGAAUUACUGGGCGUAAAGCGUGCGCAGGCGGUUUGCUAAGACCGAUGUGAAAUCCCCGGGCUCAACCUGGGAACUGCAUUGGUGACUGGCAGGCUAGAGUAUGGCAGAGGGGGGUAGAAUUCCACGUGUAGCAGUGAAAUGCGUAGAGAUGUGGAGGAAUACCGAUGGCGAAGGCAGCCCCCUGGGCCAAUACUGACGCUCAUGCACGAAAGCGUGGGGAGCAAAACAGGAUUAGAUACCCCUGGUAGUCCACGCCCUAAAACGAUGUCAACUAGUUGUUGGGGAUUCAUUUCCUUAGUAACGUAGCUAACGCGUGAAGUUGACCGCCUGGGGAGUACGGUCGCAAGAUUAAAACUCAAAUGAAUUGACGGGGUCAUAGCUGUUUCCU